rnacentral:rRNA from 1 species
UACGUAGGGGGCAAGCGUUGUCCGGAAUUAUUGGGCGUAAAGAGCGUGUAGGCGGUCCGGUAAGUCCGCUGUGAAAGUCCAGGGCUCAACCCUGGAAUGCCGGUGGAUACUGCCGGGCUAGAGUCCGGAAGAGGCGAGUGGAAUUCCUGGUGUAGCGGUGAAAUGCGCAGAUAUCAGGAGGAACACCCGUGGCGAAGGCGGCUCUCUGGGACGGUACUGACGCUGAGACGCGAAAGCGUGGGGAGCAAACGGG